GCUCGCGUGGCGGAAUUGGUAGACGCGCAUGAUUCAGGUUCAUGUGGGGAGACCCGUGGAGGUUCGAGUCCUCUCGCGAGCACCA
rnacentral:tRNA from 2 species